UAAUGUAGCUUAAGUUUUCAAAAAGCAAGACACUGAAAAUGUCUAGAUGGGCCCUACCGCCCCAUCAACA
rnacentral:tRNA from 1 species